UACGGAGGAUCCAAGCGUUAUCCGGAAUCAUUGGGUUUAAAGGGUCCGUAGGCGGCCCUGUAAGUCAGUGGUGAAAUCUCCCGGCUCAACCGGGAAAUUGCCAUUGAUACUGCAGGGCUUGAAUUACUGGGAAGUAACUAGAAUAUGUAGUGUAGCGGUGAAAUGCUUAGAGAUUACAUGGAAUACCAAUUGCGAAGGCAGGUUACUACCAGUGGAUUGACGCUGAUGGACGAAAGCGUGGGUAGCGAACAGG
rnacentral:rRNA from 1 species